AUUUGGCGCCAUUAUCGGACCAGAGGAAUUUCAAGGUCGCCACGCCGAGCAGCAUACUACAUUGAUGAAUACGACCAUUUACAUACAUAACAGACAUUGUGGUGAAUAUACAACGAUGAAGGCUGCAAGUACAUUUGUACAUGUACAUGCAAAUGGAAGGAGUGAUCUUGGAAUGUUUAACUUUACUUGGAAUUAUUAGCACAGUACUGACAGAAUUUUAUGAGAAGCCAGUAUCAUCUAAUCUUGCAACCGGAAACUAUGUGUAAAGUGCUGAAACUUAUGAACAACAUUCUACAUGUAUAUGCAAUAUGUGUUGCCACAAUCCAAUUGAGGAGCAGAGGUCAACUAUAAAUUGGAACUACAUGUAUAUGCCUUAGUGCUGUCAAAAUCCUUUAAAAAAUGCAAUCAAAAGGACCUGCUUCACCUACCUGUCCCAAUGAUGAAUAAAGAUCAUAUAUAUAUAUUGAGUCUUAUAAAAGAACAGUGAAACAGAAUAAAAAUUAUGAAGAUAUAGAGCUGAUCAGCUUAUGAUUGUACAUGUACAUGACGUAUAAAUGGCAACAAUGCUUACAUUUAUACUAGAACAUUUAAAUUAACAAUAUUACAUUUGUAAUACAUGUUUUAUAAAUUUGAUCUCGGAGACAUCUGAGGAAUAAAAUCAAUAACGUUUCAAAAAUU